rnacentral:tRNA from 1 species
GGGAUUGUAGUUCAAUUGGUUAGAGCACCCCCUGUCAAGGCAGAAACUGCGAGUUCGAGCCCUGUCAGUGUCG